CGGCCGAGCAGGGGCUCGAACCCUGGACGUCUGGUUAAAAGCCAAACGCUCUACCGACUGAGCUACCGGGCU
rnacentral:tRNA from 1 species